UGGGCAACCUGCCCUAUAGAGGGGAAUAGCCUUCCGAAAGGAAGAUUAAUACCCCAUAAGAUUGUAGCUUCACAUGGAGCAGCAAUUAAAGGAGCAAUCCGCUAUAGGAUGGGCCCGCGGCGCAUUAGCUAGUUGGUGAGGUAACGCUCACCAAGGCGACGAUGCGUAGCCGACCUGAGAGGGUNAUCGGCCACAGUUGGGACUGAGACACCGGCCCAGACCUGUACGGGAG
rnacentral:rRNA from 1 species